rnacentral:lncRNA from 1 species
AAUAGUUUUUCUACCAGGAAUGUACUCUCAUUAUAGGACAGCAUAGUGGAGAGCAGUGUUGCUGUAGACAUCCACGUUCCAGCAGAACGAUGCCACAAAUCUCUUCCUGGCAAUGUACAGCCUCCUCAAAGGCAUCCCAUUUUGUUUAUCACCAAUGUCAAUGUGGCAUUUUCAGUUCACCAGGAGAGUCCCCACUUCCACAUGGCCAUUGGCACAGGCCAAACGUACAGCAGCCCUGUCCAUCCACAGCUGAAGGGAUAGAGAAACUGCCAUACAGAUACACACAGAGUAUGCUUCAGCCAUAAAGCUUUGGGAAAUCCUGUCAUUCGCAGCCACAUGGAGAAACCCAGAGGACAUUAGGUCCAAGAAAAUGAGCCUGGUGGAGCAAGUCCCACACUGCGUGACCUCAGGCAUGUGGACUCCAAAAAGCUUUAUCUCCUGCCCAUCCACAGAUGAAGGGAUCAAGAAACUCUGAUAUAUAUACACAAAGGAAUGUUCUUUGGCCAUCAAGAUAAUUAAAGGAUGUCAUUUGGAGGAACAUAGAUGGCCCGCCGAGGCUGCGGCUGCCUCAUCCUGCACUGUGGAUGGAAGCCGCUGAUCUGACAGGAAGUGGAGCUCAGGACCUUCUGCUUUGCACAAAGGUGGUAUGCAAUCAGAAGACGUCUGAGGAGACAAGUAUGCAUCUCCCACCACAACAUUAUAUGAUGCUUGGAGUAAAAACAGUCCUCCCUGUUCCUACCCACGAAUGUAUUAUUCAAUAAAGAUUGCUGCCAGGCAUGGUGGCUCAUACCUGUAGUCCCGCACUUUGGGAGGCUGAGGCUGGGCAGAUCGCUUGAGACCAGGGUUUGAGACUAGCCUGGACAACAUGGUGAGCCACCAUCUCUGCAGAAAUAAAAUAAAAUAAAAUUAGCCAGGUGUAGUGGCCUGUGCCUAUAGCCUCAGCUACUUGGGAGGCUGAGGCAGGAGAAUAGCUUGAGCCCUGGAAGUCCAGGCAACAGUAAGCCAUGAUGGUGGCACUGCACUCCAAACUGGGUGACAGAGUAAGACCCUGUCUUAAAAAAAAAAAAAAAAGAUUGCAUUAUUCAAUCUUUUUUCCCAUAUAUAAUUUAUAUAGUUACAUAAUUACAUUCUAGUUUUUGCACAUGCCGAGAACUACAUAUAAUUUAGUAGUAUGCUGUUUUCACUUAUAUAUCACAUAUAUUUUCCUAUAUAGGUAUAUAAUAUCUAUAUUUGUCCUUUUCCAUUUGACUGCUGUGUUUCUUAAAUUGAUAUACUGUGAUCUAAGCCAGUUACAGAUUGGUAUGGAUUUAAAUUACUUCCUAUUUUCUGUUUUAUUAACAAUAAACACUGUUAUGAUAUAGUUUUCAUUUUUGUUUGUUUGGUUUUUGAUCAUUUCCUGUGGAAGUAUUCUCAAAGCUGAAAUUACUGAAUUAGUGGGAACAAACAUGGCUGUCUUUUUAAAUGUUUUGUCAGCUUACUCUCCAAAAGGAUUACACCAAGAGGUAUUGCCACUAGCAGUAGUUAAGAGUUUGUCUCACCAUGAUUACAAAUUUUUCAAAAUUGGUAGCUUAUUCACACUGAUUGGAACAUAUGAAUUGUUCAAUAUUUUAUAAUAUGUAUAUGGGAAAACCCUUAUAUAGAUUAAUCAAGAACAUAUAAGUAUGUAAUAAAUUCCAUACUGGAUUACAUCGAUGAUCCUUCUGGCUCUGCAUCUUGAAACCUAGUUAAGCUCUUUUAUGUUAAAUUCACCCGGAUAGAGUUUUGGAAAAUACUUGCUUUUUAUUUCUGAAAGUUUUUGCAAAGGAUUAGGUUUGGUUUUAUGAAAAGUUUCGUCUCUGAAAUUAUCUGCCUAGACUUUGGACAAGGUGUUCUAUUAAUUGUCAAAUACAAUUGAAUUGAAUCACAUUUUUCUUUCUAGGUUACUUUAUAAGGUGUUCCUACAGGUCAUAAAAAAAUUGCCCACAAGGAGCCAAAUUACUUUAUUCAUGGAUCUAAUAUUGCUUUAUAGUAUUGCUAUAUAGGUUUAGAUAAUUAUGUUGUUUCACCUUCAGUAGUCAUAUUUUAGUUAUAGGUAAAGUCAUUCCUAGUUAAAAUAGUAUGUAAAGCAAACACAUUUGAAAUCACCAGUAUUCGACAUGUUUUGCUAUUACUUACAAGUAACAAUUUACAUUAUUUUAAUGUUGUAAAUAGUUGUGGAAUUUAGUCAUUUUCUGUAUAUUGAAUUAAUUACUGGCAUUAAAUAAGUAUCUUCUCUCUUUAGUAGCUUAACUCAUUUCCUGAAUGUACCCAUUUGAUAUCAUACUUUUGAUUGGUAAAGUCACAUGUAAAUAUCUUUUUUACUUUUUAUAAAAUAAUGUCAUAAAAAUAUGGAAGAUUUUCUGGCAGACAUUAUUAGCUAACUGAUGACAUUUUCAGUAAGUGCCAAAAAGUAAUAUAUGAAUAUAUAAAACAUCAAAUAUUUAGCAUAAACUUUAUAAAUAGCAGAAAUGAUUAGUAGAAGAAAUUACUCACAUAUUGUCUGCUAAAAUAAAUAUUAAAAUUUGACUACAUGAAAAAAUAUAGUUUCUUGAGCUGAUCAAAUAAAUUGAUCAUAAUUCUUCCUCG